AACGCUGGCGGCGUGCUAAUACAUGCAAGUCGAACGCUUUGUGGUUCAACUGAUUUGAAGAGCUUGCUCAGAUAUGACGAUGGACAUUGCAAAGAGUGGCGAACGGGUGAGUAACACGUGGGAAACCUACCUCUUAGCAGGGGAUAACAUUUGGAAACAGAUGCUAAUACCGUAUAACAAUAGCAACCGCAUGGUUGCUACUUAAAAGAUGGUUCUGCUAUCACUAAGAGAUGGUCCCGCGGUGCAUUAGUUAGUUGGUGAGGUAAUGGCUCACCAAGACGAUGAUGCAUAGCCGAGUUGAGAGACUGAUCGGCCACAUUGGGAC
rnacentral:rRNA from 1 species